UAGCUACUCCCUCCGUCCGAAAAUACUUGCCAUCAAAAUGGAUAAAAGGAGAUGUAUCUAGAACUAAAAUACGUCUAGAUACAUCCUUUUUUAUUCAUUUUGAUGACAAGUAUUUCCGGACGGAGGGAGUACUAG
rnacentral:pre_miRNA from 1 species